rnacentral:miRNA from 2 species
GUGGAUAUUCCUUCUAUGGUUA